ACGCGUAGAACUGCGUAUACGUGGGAGUAACACUUAGAAAUAGGUGCUAAUACCGCAUAAGCGCACAGCUUCGCAUGAAGCGGUGUGAAAAACUCUGGUGGUAUACGAUGGUUCCGCGUCUGAUUAGCUAGUUGGUGGGGUAAUGGCCUACCAAGGCAACGAUCAGUAGCCGGCCUGAGAGGGUGAACGGCCACAUUGGGACUGAGACACGGCCCAAACUCCUACGGGAGGCAGCAG
rnacentral:rRNA from 1 species